UUAAGUUAUUAAGGGCGCAUGGUGGAUGCCUUGGCACUAGAAGCCGAAGAAGGACGUUACUAACGACGAUACGCUUUGGGUAGCUGUAAGUAAGCGUUGAUCCAGAGAUUUCCGAAUGGGGGAACCCAACAUGAGUUAUGUCAUGUUAUCGACAUGUGAAUUCAUAGCAUGUCAGAAGGCAGACCCGGAGAACUGAAACAUCUUAGUACCCGGAGGAAGAGAAAGAAAAAUCGAUUCCCUGAGUAGCGGCGAGCGAAACGGGAAGAGCCCAAACCAACAAGCUUGCUUGUUGGGGUUGUAGGACACUCUAUACGGAGUUACAAAAGAACAUGUUAGACGAAUCAUCUGGAAAGAUGAAUCAAAGAAGGUAAUAAUCCUGUAGUCGAAAACAUAUUCUCUCUUGAGUGGAUCCUGAGUACGACGGAGCACGUGAAAUUCCGUCGGAAUCUAGGAGGACCAUCUCCUAAGGCUAAAUACUCUCUAGUGACCGAUAGUGAACCAGUACCGUGAGGGAAAGGUGAAAAGUACCCCGGAAGGGGAGUGAAAGAGAACUUGAAACCGUGUGCUUACAAGUAGUCAGAGCCCGUUUAUGGGUGAUGGCGUGCCUUUUGUAGAAUGAACCGGCGAGUUACGAUCUGAUGCAAGGUUAAGCAGCGAAUGUGGAGCCGUAGCGAAAGCGAGUCUGAAUAGGGCGUUGAGUAUUUGGUCGUAGACCCGAAACCAGGUGAUCUACCCUUGGUCAGGUUGAAGUUCAGGUAACACUGAAUGGAGGACCGAACCGACUUACGUUGAAAAGUGAGCGGAUGAACUGAGGGUAGCGGAGAAAUUCCAAUCGAACUUGGAGAUAGCUGGUUCUCUCCGAAAUAGCUUUAGGGCUAGCCUCAAGUGAUGAUUAUUGGAGGUAGAGCACUGUUUGGACGAGGGGCCCCUCUCGGGUUACCGAAUUCAGACAAACUCCGAAUGCCAAUCAAUUUAACUUGGGAGUCAGAACAUGGGUGAUAAGGUCCGUGUUCGAAAGGGAAACAGCCCAGACCACCAGCUAAGGUCCCAAAAUAUAUGUUAAGUGGAAAAGGAUGUGGCGUUGCCCAGACAACUAGGAUGUUGGCUUAGAAGCAGCCAUCAUUUAAAGAGUGCGUAAUAGCUCACUAGUCGAGUGACACUGCGCCGAAAAUGUACCGGGGCUAAACAUAUUACCGAAGCUGUGGAUUGUCCUUCGGACAAUGGUAGGAGAGCGUUCUAAGGGCGUUGAAGCAUGAUCGCAAGGACAUGUGGAGCGCUUAGAAGUGAGAAUGCCGGUGUGAGUAGCGAAAGACGGGUGAGAAUCCCGUCCACCGAUUGACUAAGGUUUCCAGAGGAAGGCUCGUCCGCUCUGGGUUAGUCGGGUCCUAAGCUGAGGCCGACAGGCGUAGGCGAUGGAUAACAGGUUGAUAUUCCUGUACCACCUAGUAUCGUUUUAAUCGAUGGGGGGACGCAGUAGGAUAGGCGAAGCGUGCUGUUGGAGUGCACGUCCAAGCAGUAAGGCUGAGUGUUAGGCAAAUCCGGCACUCGUUAGGCUGAGCUGUGAUGGGGAGAGGAAAUUGUUUCCUCGAGUCGUUGAUUUCACACUGCCGAGAAAAGCCUCUAGAUAGAUAACAGGUGCCCGUACCGCAAACCGACACAGGUAGUCAAGAUGAGAAUUCUAAGGUGAGCGAGCGAACUCUCGUUAAGGAACUCGGCAAAAUGACCCCGUAACUUCGGGAGAAGGGGUGCUCUUUAGGGUUCACGCCCAGAAGAGCCGCAGUGAAUAGGCCCAAGCGACUGUUUAUCAAAAACACAGGUCUCUGCUAAACCGUAAGGUGAUGUAUAGGGGCUGACGCCUGCCCGGUGCUGGAAGGUUAAGAGGAGUGGUUAGCUUCUGCGAAGCCACGAAUCGAAGCCCCAGUAAACGGCGGCCGUAACUAUAACGGUCCUAAGGUAGCGAAAUUCCUUGUCGGGUAAGUUCCGACCCGCACGAAAGGCGUAACGAUUUGGGCACUGUCUCAACGAGAGACUCGGUGAAAUCAUAGUACCUGUGAAGAUGCAGGUUACCCGCGACAGGACGGAAAGACCCCGUGGAGCUUUACUGUAGCCUGAUAUUGAAAUUCGGCACAGCUUGUACAGGAUAGGUAGGAGCCAUUGAAACGUGAGCGCUAGCUUACGUGGAGGCGUUGGUGGGAUACUACCCUAGCUGUGUUGGCUUUCUAACCCGCACCACUUAUCGUGGUGGGAGACAGUGUCAGGCGGGCAGUUUGACUGGGGCGGUCGCCUCCUAAAAGGUAACGGAGGCGCUCAAAGGUUCCCUCAGAAUGGUUGGAAAUCAUUCACAGAGUGUAAAGGCAUAAGGGAGCUUGACUGCGAGACCUACAAGUCGAGCAGGGUCGAAAGACGGACUUAGUGAUCCGGUGGUUCCGCAUGGAAGGGCCAUCGCUCAACGGAUAAAAGCUACCCCGGGGAUAACAGGCUUAUCUCCCCCAAGAGUUCACAUCGACGGGGAGGUUUGGCACCUCGAUGUCGGCUCAUCGCAUCCUGGGGCUGUAGUCGGUCCCAAGGGUUGGGCUGUUCGCCCAUUAAAGCGGUACGCGAGCUGGGUUCAGAACGUCGUGAGACAGUUCGGUCCCUAUCCGUCGUGGGCGUAGGAAAUUUGAGAGGAGCUGUCCUUAGUACGAGAGGACCGGGAUGGACAUACCUCUGGUGUACCAGUUGUCGUGCCAACGGCAUAGCUGGGUAGCUAUGUAUGGACGGGAUAAGUGCUGAAAGCAUCUAAGCAUGAAGCCCCCCUCAAGAUGAGAUUUCCCAACUUCGGUUAUAAGAUCCCUCGAAGAUGACGAGGUUAAUAGGUUCGAGGUGGAAGCGUGGUGACACGUGGAGCUGACGAAUACUAAUCGAUCGAAGACUUAAUCAA
rnacentral:rRNA from 1 species